GCGCAAGGCCCUGGAUUUGGUCUAAAGAGGAUCGCAAAGAUGAAUCCGACAACACUGACAGAAAAAUACAAACAGUUCUUCACUCAUACAGUUUAUUUCUGCAUUCAGCACAGAAUAAGGAGAAGACACGGCUUUAAGUUCCAGCCUAUUACCUAUGAAACAUGGGCACUAGUCCAAGUUCUCUUCUUACUGUGAAAAGGACAAGUUCUGACUCAAUCCAGCAAUUCAGGGGUUCUCCUGGGUAUAAACUGACAUGACUUUCAUUUCACCUCCCGAGAUCACUUGGUGAGGAGGGAGAGAGAGCUGCUGACAGAAACGAAGACGGCUUUGAACUUUUCCUCCAUCUCCAGUGCAAGAGGAUUCCCUUUUCU